UACGAAGGGGGCUAGCGUUGUUCGGAAUUACUGGGCGUAAAGCGCGCGCAGGCGGUUCUCCAAGUCAGUGGUGAAAGCCCGGAGCUCAACUCCGGAACUGCCAUUGAAACUGUUGAACUUGAGGACGAGAGAGGUGAGUGGAAUUCCCAGUGUAGAGGUGAAAUUCGUAGAUAUUGGGAAGAACACCGGUGGCGAAGGCGGCUCACUGGCUCGUAUCUGACGCCCAGGCGCGAUAGCGUGGGGAUCAAACAGG
rnacentral:rRNA from 1 species